CUUUCGGGGGCGAAGGGCUCUUUCUGUCUGCUGGAAAUCUGAGCGGAGGGGCUCUACCCGGUUCCACUGUAUAGGUACAAGGAAGUUUCCGCCUUUCUCCAGAAAGGCGGAAAACCAAUUCCUCCUCUCGCUGGAGUGUCCUUUGCUUCUGAACCUAAGAACGCCUCUCCUCCAAAACAAGGGAUUAUCAUCCUUAUUUUAUAAAGAAGACUGGAUCGGAGCCAAGACCACAAGGACCUGAAGUAUACCACCGUCAUUCUUCCAGCUUCCUGGGAAAUUGUGUCCUGAGCGGCUUUCCUCCACCACACUCUUCCUGCAUGAGGUUCUGCCUCACCUUGGACCCAGAGCAAUGAAGUUGGCCAUCUAUGGACCGAGAUCACUGAAACGGAAUGUACUGCAAAAGAUCCCCAAUUCCUCCACCCUCUGAAAGCAUCUCACAGAAAAUUCCUUCAGCCAACGAAGUUUCUAAUUCCAGAAAGCUCUCUUUUGUGGUCUUGCUCCCAGACUGGCAGAUGUCACCAGGAAAAAUAUAUCACCAUAUCCAACUUCUGAACUAACAAGUGAAUUCCAGCCAUCAUGGCCCAAGUGGGGCUCAAAAAGAUCAUGCCUCAGAUUUUUACCCUCCUUAUUAUUUUUCUUAUUGAAGCUACAGCUGGAUCUCUUUUCUUUCUUUCUUCACAAAAUGACUUUAAAAUAGUCCUCACUUAUUGUGUUUGUAUCCUCAUCUGUACUCCUUUUUGCCUCUCCCUACAUUUAUUUCUGUAGCCUAUUAUGUUUGUUUUGUUUUGUUUUGUUUUUGGUACCUGGGAUUGAACCCAGGAGUGCUUAACCACUGAGUCACAUCACUUUUUUAUUUUUUAUUUUGAGACAGGGUCUCACGAAGUUGCUUAGG